CAUUAGCUCAGUUGGUAGAGCAUCUGACUUUUAAUCAGAGGGUCAGAGGUUCGAAUCCUCUAUG
rnacentral:tRNA from 1 species